AACACAGCACUUUGCCAACUCGUAAGAGGAAGUAUAAGGUGUGACGCCUGCCCGGUGCCGAAGGUUAAGAGGAUGCGUCAGUCGCAAGAUGAAGCGUUGAAUUGAAGCCCGAGUAAACGGCGGCCGUAACUAUAACGGUCCUAAGGUAGCGAAAUUCCUUGUCGGUUAAAUACCGACCUGCAUGAAUGGCGUAACGAGAUGGGAGCUGUCUCAACCAGAGAUUCAGUGAAAUUGUAGUGGAGGUGAAAAUUCCUCCUACCCGCGGCAAGACGGAAAGACCCCGUGGACCUUUACUACAACUUAGCACUGCUAAUGGGAAUAUCAUGCGCAGGAUAGGUGGGAGGCUUUGA
rnacentral:rRNA from 1 species